ensembl:lncRNA
CUUCCCCUUUGGUCUGACGGCAUACUGUACCUUUGGGAGGGAGCCCAUGUUAAGUGACAGGCUUUGAGAAGUUUAAGAGCUUUGAGAAGUUUGAGAGCUUGGCGUGGGGAAAUGUACUGUACUGGCACUUCGACUAACUCAUGGAAGCUUCUGGAAGAUUGAGCCCUUCAAAAUGAGUUGACAUGCCUUAGAGGUGGUCACUGAAAUCCACUGAGCUGUGUUAGAGAGAAUGGGAUCCAAAUACUUGGCGAUGUCAGAUAUGCUAAGCAGUGUAGCAGUGAUGGAUCUGCUGAAUAUGAUGAGGUGGAAAUAUUUAGAUUUUUUUUUUUUGGCUCGUCCUGUUUGUUGACAGGAUUUUAAAUCUCUGGGAUUCAUAAACUGGAUGAACUCAGCGUCUGUUUUUUAACAUGCAUUUGUCUUCUCUCUUGGCAGCCCUUUGAGAUGGCAGACAUCCCUGUGGUCAUCUUGCUGGCUGCUUUAGCACAGCUUUUAAAGCUCAUCCCUUUGCUCUCUGGCAUAUUGCCUCUUCUCUCUCUCUUUCUCUCUUCCUCUGUCUCUCUUUUUCUUUUCUCACCACUCUCCUUUAUUUAUUUAUUUCUUUCUUUCUUUCUUUCUCUUCUCUUGUCACACUCCAAACAGACAAAACACUAUUAACCUCUGGCCAGCUCCAAACCCAAUAUUCUGACAACGAUACAAUGGUGUGGUUUCCUUUCCAGCCGAGCACUUUAUUGUGACUGGUUGUAAAUGGUCACGCUCAUUGCUGGGGGUUGGAAUGAUUAGUAGACUACUUCCUAGGAAACACAGAGAUCACAAUUAUUUCUUCAUGAGCGUGGCUGUGGGGUUCCGCAUAUGUUUCCACAGAGUGAGACGAGAUGAGUGGGGCAUCAGAGUGUUGAGCUGAAAUGUCGCCUUCCGAGCCCCAGUGUGGGCCCUCCAAUGAAUCCUUCAUUCUACUUGACAUUUCAGUUUAAGGCCGUUUGAGUGUGAGGUGACCCCUGAGGGCCGGUAAAUACACUUUAAUCAGGGAUUUGCCCUCAUGCCCACAGGCUGCCCCAUAAUUCCGGAAAGAAAUGGGAAGCAUGAAGGAUGGAAAUGGCAUUUUCAAUCUCCUUUUCUCCUCACUCUCUCCAUUCAAAUGGGCUCUUGGCUUUGUGCU